CAGAAAGUAGUUUAAUAAAAAUUUAGGUUUUGGAAAUCUAAGAUGUCUAGUAGGUCUUUCUGA
rnacentral:tRNA from 1 species